rnacentral:rRNA from 1 species
UACGGAGGGUGCAAGCAUUGAUCGGAUUUACUGGGCGUAAAGGGCGCGUAGGCGGACGAAAAAGUCAGAUGUGAAAUCCCAUGGCUCAACUAUGGGGCUGCAUUUGAAACUCUUUGUCUUGAGGUAUGGCGGAGAAAACGGAAUUCCGCAUGUAGCGGUGAAAUGCGUAGAUAUGCGGAGGAACACCGGUGGCGAAAGCGGUUUUCUAGCUAUUACCUGACGCUGAGGCGCGAGAGCAUAGGUAGCAAACAGG